rnacentral:rRNA from 1 species
UACGUAGGUGACAAGCGUUGUCCGGAUUUACUGGGCGUAAAGAGCGCGCAGGCGGUCGAUCAAGUCGAGUGUGAAAGCCCCCGGCUCAACUGGGGAGGGUCAUUCGAUACUGAUCGACUCGAAGGCAGGAGAGGGUAGUGGAAUUCCCGGUGUAGUGGUGAAAUGCGUAGAUAUCGGGAGGAACACCAGUGGCGAAGGCGGCCUGCUGGGCAGUGGCUGACGCUGAGGCGCGACAGCGUGGGGAGCAAACAGG